rnacentral:rRNA from 1 species
UACGUAGGUGGCAAGCGUUGUCCGGAAUUAUUGGGCGUAAAGCGCGCGCAGGCGGUCCUUUAAGUCUGAUGUGAAAGCCCACGGCUCAACCGUGGAGGGUCAUUGGAAACUGGGGGACUUGAGUGCAGAAGAGGAAAGUGGAAUUCCAAGUGUAGCGGUGAAAUGCGUAGAGAUGUGGAGGAACACCAGUGGCGAAGGCGGCUUUCUGGUCUGUAACUGACGCUGAGGCGCGAAAGCGUGGGGAGCAAACAGG